rnacentral:rRNA from 1 species
UACGAAGGGGGCGAGCGUUGUUCGGAUUUACUGGGCGUAAAGGGCGCGCAGGCGGCGCAUUUUGUCAGGCGUGAAAGCCCCGGGCUUAACCUGGGAACUGCGUUUGAUACGGAUGGGCUAGAGUUCGGGAGAGGAGAGUGGAAUUCCCAGUGUAGAGGUGAAAUUCGUAGAUAUUGGGAAGAACACCGGUGGCGAAGGCGGCAUCCUGGACCGACACUGACACUGAGGAGCGAAAGCCAGGGGAGCAAACGGG